rnacentral:misc_RNA from 1 species
GAUGAAGAACGUAGCGAAAUGCGAUAAGUAAUGUGAAUUGCAGAAUUCAGUGAAUCAUCGAAUCUUUGAAUGCACAUUGCGCCCGCCAGUAUUCUGGCGGGCAUGCCUGUCCGAGCGUCAUUUCAACCCUCGAACCCCUCCGGGGGGUCGGCGUUGGGGAUCGGCCCUGCCUUUGGCGGUGGCCGUCUCCGAAAUACAGUGGCGGUCUCGCCGCAGCCUCUCCUGCGCAGUAGUUUGCACACUCGCAUCGGGAGCGCGGCGCGUCCACAGCCGUUAAACACCCAACUUCUGAAAUGUUGACCUCGGAUCAGGUAGGAAUACCCGCUGAACUUAAGCAUAUCAAUAAGCGGAGGA